rnacentral:lncRNA from 1 species
GAUAAGAUGGCCAAGAGUAUUCGAAAUGUUUUCUCUGUCUUCUUUAUCCUCCUCGUCAUUUUGCUUCUCGGGAUGACACCGCUGUUAUCUGCUCGUCCAGUUCGACAAGGUAAUGAUAUUUUUUGUAAAUAGAUACAUACAGUAAUAUUUUAAUUUAUUUUAAUCAAUCACAUAUUACAAAAAUUAAAUCUCUUUUUGUUUCACAAAAUAUUUUUUUUAAAAUAAUGUUGGCAAAUUAAAUCUCUUUAAUGGAAAAUCUUUUUCAAAUUAAGGAAAAUGAAGAUAGCUUUUUUAGGAGCCAAAUUAAAAUUAUAAAUUCAUUAAAAUAUUAUAAAACUUUGUAUAAAAUAAAUUGUAAUAGGUUUUUUGUGACAAUUUGGGCCAUUUGCUCGCUUUCAAUUGUAAUUAAUGAUGAAAUUGCAAAUAAAAAAAAUAUUUUCAUUCUUUAUUUAAUAAAGAUAAAAUAAAUUUUCUCAAAAUAAAAGAUAAAAUAAAAUUUAAAUAUCAAAUUAUAUUUAUAAUUUAGUUGGUAGCACAUUUAUAGAUUUAGAAAUAUGAUAUCUGAGGCAUGUGCAAUUAAAUUACUUAUUUAUUUUUAUGAAAUGAAUAAUUUCACUAUAUUAUCAAUCCAAAAAUUACUACAAUUACGAUUUUUAAUCCUUAAAUCAUAGAUAAAUAUAAAACAAAAUACGUAAUAUAUACUUAUAUAUAUAUAUUAAAUUUCUAUGCCAUGCUUGCGAUUUUUUAGUAUGUAACAAAAAUUAUGUUAUAAAAUUGUUAAUUACCACAUUUAUUUCAAAAAAUAAAAUUUUAUUUGUGCAACAUUAUUUACUUAGACUGCUGAAAUUUUUUCAAAUUUUUAUUUUUUCUAAGUUUUUUUUAGAGUCAAAUGAUGAUUUAAAAAUGAUGAAAAUAUUUUUUUUGUUGUAAUCUCAUCCUUAAUUUUCAGUUAGACAAUUAUUAUUAUAAAAGGUCGAAAUUAUGUGAAUCAACAAAAAGAUCAAAAUAAAGUGAAUCUUUGAUGUUCAGUUAUAUUAGACCCAUUUUUUUUACAAAAUAUGAACUUUUUUUUUUUUUUUUUUUUUGCAAUUUUGGUGACUUAAAUUUACUUCAAGUCAUCUUAGACAAUCCCUUUAUGUUAUUGUCACUUCAAAAAUGAAAUUAAUUAUGAUAAUAGUUGCACUGUUGCAGGGCCUAAUAAUUGUACGUCUGAGCCGACGUCUGCGUGUGCGAGUCGUCAAAGACCUGGAGGACCAGGGAGGCGCUGAUAAUCCAGUGCGUAUCCAACCGGAGGAUUAAAAGUCAAGACAGAAGCCCAAGAUAUUUUGCAAACGACUAGUAGUAUUAUAUACAUAACCAAAUUAUAGUUCUGUUUAUAUAUAUAUAUAUAUAUAUAUAUAUAUAUAUAU